GACGAACGCUGGCGGCGUGCUUAACACAUGCAAGUCGAACGGAAAGGCCUGUCCUUCCUUGUGUUGGACGGGUACUCGAGUGGCGAACGGGUGAGUAACACGUGAGUGAUCUGCCCCCAACUUGGGUAUAAGCCUGGGAAACUGGGUCUAAUUCCCGAUAGGACUGCAGGGUGGUGCCUGUGGUGGAAAACGAUUUUCUAGUGGUUGGGGAUGAGCUCGCGGCCUAUCAGCUUGUUGGUGGGGUAAUGGCCUACCAAGGCGGCGACGGGUAGCCGGCCUGAGAGGGUGGACGGCCCCAUUGGGACUGAGAUACGGCCCAGACUCCUACGGGAGGCAGCAGUGGGGAAUAUUGCACAAUGGGCGGAAGCCUGAUGCAGCGACGCCGCGUGGGGGAUGACGGCCUUCGGGUUGUAAACUCCUUUCGACCGCGAGGAAGCCGCCUGGUUGGAAGGGUGGUGACGGUAGUGGUAGAAGAAGCACCGGCUAACUACGUG
rnacentral:rRNA from 1 species